AUUGAACGCUGGCGGCAGGCCUAACACAUGCAAGUCGAACGAGUGGCGGACGGGUGAGUAAUGUCUGGGACACUGCCCGAUGGAGGGGGCUAACUACUGGAACCGGUAGCUAAUCCCGCAUACCUUCAGAUGUGCACAGAUGGGCUUCGCUUGUUGGUGGGGUAACGGUACACCAAUGCGACGCUCCCUAGCUGGUCUGAGAGGAUGACCAGCCACACGGGAACCGAGACACGGUCCAGACUCCAACGGGAGGGAGCAGUGGGGAAUAUUGCACAAUGGGCGCAAGCCUGAUGCAGCCAUGCCGCGUGUAUGAAGAAGGCCGUCGUGUUGUAAAGUAGUUUCAGUAGAGAGGCGUAACCAGCAGAAGAAGCACCGGCUAACUCCGUGCCAGCAGCCGCGUUAAAC
rnacentral:rRNA from 1 species